AGUGAACGCUGGCGGUAGGCCUAACACAUGCAAGUCGAACGGCAGCACAGUAAGAUCUUGCUCUUACGGGUGGCGAGUGGCGGACGGGUGAGGAAUACAUCGGAAUCUACUUUCUCGUGGGGGAUAACGUAGGGAAACUUACGCUAAUACCGCAUACGACCUACGGGUGAAAGCAGGGGAUCUUCGCACCUUGCGCGAUUGAAUGAGCCGAUGUCGGAUUAGCUAGUUGGCUGGGUAAAGGCCCACCAAGGCGACGAUCCGUAGCUGGUCUGAGAGGAUGAUCAGCCACACUGGAACUGAGACACGGUCCAGACUCCUACGGGAGGCAGCAGUGGGGAAUAUUGGACAAUGGGCGCAAGCCUGAUCCAGCCAUACCGCGUGGGUGAAGAAGGCCUUCGGGUUGUAAAGCCCUUUUGUUGGGAAAGAAAAGCAGCAGGUUAAUACCCCGCUGUUCUGACGGUACCCAAAGAAUAAGCACCGGCUAACUUCGUG
rnacentral:rRNA from 1 species